UAAAUCUCCAUGGGUAGUUGCGUCGGA
rnacentral:sRNA from 1 species